AAGUCAUCAUGGCCCUUACGACCAGGGCUACACACGUGCUACAAUGGCGCAUACAAAGAGAAGCGACCUCGCGAGAGCAAGCGGACCUCAUAAAGUGCGUCGUAGUCCGGAUUGGAGUCUGCAACUCGACUCCAUGAAGUCGGAAUCGCUAGUAAUCGUGGAUCAGAAUGCCACGGUGAAUACGUUCCCGGGCCUUGUACACACCGCCCGUCACACCAUGGGAGUGGGUUGCAAAAGAAGUAGGUAGCUUAACCUUCGGGAGGGCGCUUACCACUUUGUGAUUCAUGACUGGGGUGAAGUCGUAACAAGGUAACCGUAG
rnacentral:rRNA from 1 species